rnacentral:rRNA from 1 species
GGUUGAUCCUGCCAGUAGUCAUAUGCUUGUCUCAAAGACUAAGCCAUGCAUGUCUAAGUAUAAAUAGUUUUUAUACUGUGAAACUGCGAAUGGCUCAUUAAAUCAGUUAUAAUUUACUUGAUUAUAUUAAAAUUUACUUGGAUAACCGUAGUAAUUCUAGAGCUAAUACAUGCAAAAAGAUUCAACUUUUAGGAAGAAUCGUAUUUAUUAGAUACAAAAAUCAAUAUAUUAAAAUUGAUGAUUCAUAAUAACUUAACAAAGCGAAAUAUUCAUUUAUUUUGCUGAUACAAACA